rnacentral:lncRNA from 1 species
AAUUCCCCAAAUACCAUUAAUAGCCACCGACACGAGCCGGUCUUCCACCCGAAACUUCCUCCUCCCACUCUUAUCUUCCCGUUGGGCUCUCUCUCUCUCUCCUCCCCCCUAUAAAAAACCCUCCGCGCAUCAAAGCCUCCUCCACACCGAUCUCAGCCGCCGGCGAGAACAAGAAGAGAAAGAUGAGCUACUACAACCAGCAGCAGCACCCCGUCGGCGUCCCUCCUCCCCAAGGUAUGGGUUUCCUUCUCGAUUUCGUUCGAGAUCUCUAGUUUUGGACGAUUUUGGUUGGUCUGAUUGAUUUCUACGGUCAGGGGUUUGACGGAUGUUGUUAGGGUUUCUGAUGGAGUUUUUGUCGUGAUGAUUAGGGUAUCCACCGGAGGGGUACGUGAAGGACGCCUACCCGCCGCCGGGGUAUCCGCAGCAGGGGUACCCACCAGCGGGGUACGCGCAGGGGUACCCGCCACAGAGCUACCCUCCGCAGUACGCCCAGCCGCCGCCNNN